UGGGUUGAAUAGAUAGUCGCGUCUUGAUCGGAAUUUACCAGUGAGAUGAGGAAAGUCUGGACUCCGUAGGGCAGGAUGCUCGGUAAACCCAAGGAGCGGUGACACUAUGGAAAGUGUAACAGAAAGUAGACUACAACAAUAAGGCGAUUUGUGGAACUAUGUAAACCUCAUCUGGAACAAGGUAAAUAGCGGACAAUGUAGAUGUGCCUGUCUCAUCCCCAGGUAACCGCUUGAGAUGGACGGUAACAUCCAUUCCAGAUGAAUGAUCAUCAUAUACAGAAUCCGGCUUAUUCUUAACUCAAGUC
rnacentral:RNase_P_RNA from 1 species